GCCCCCCCCUUCCCCAAGUCCACUUUGCAAGAGCAAGAAGAGAAGACGUGGAUCUCUCCCCGGAUCCAGCAACGCCUGAGCGAUCGCCUCUCCCUGGUUGAUUCCCUUCCUCCGUCUGAUCUCUCCCUGUGCAAAGACCUCCCCCGCCCCAAAAAGCCAGACUCGCUAAGGGUUAAAUCCCACCCACCCCCGCAUUUCAGGGAGAGUCACAUCCUGCUGCAUUUGGGUCUGGACGGGUGAGUGGAAUUUGUGGGGCGGGGGGGGGGGGAGGUGAUGCCUUCCCACGGGCAGGAUGGGGAGUGGGCGUGUGCGUGUGUGUGUGUGUGUUGUGUGUUGCGGACUCCGGGCAUCCGAAUCAAGAGUUGCCCGCGUUGGGCUGGCAGCGACUCUCCAAAGCUCCGGAGGAAGGACACUCCCAGCCCUACCUACAGACGCCGCAUGUAGGGUUUGAACCCGGGACCGUCUGCAUGCGAGGCAGACGCCCUGCCAUUGAGCUAUGCUCCUUAGCAUGGGCGUAGGGAGUCAGAGAAUUGCAGAGUUGCAAAGGAGCACGAGGGACAUCCUAGCCCAAGCUCCUGCAAUGCAGGAAUCUUUUGCCCGAUGUGGGUCUGGAAGCCACGACCCUGUGAGUGUCGUGCUCUACAAAUAUGUUUUGGGAGGGUGGUUUAUUGGUUUGUUUUUUGUUCCCACGGACUCAGCUAAAGAGAGAGAGCGAGAGAGAGCGCGCGCGCGAGAGAGAGAGAGUGCUGUCCACAGCUACCAGUUUGGGAGCAUCUCUUGGAAGACCUUUGUAUGCCAACAGGCCUAUGCAGGUUUCUAGAAUGUCCCCAGUAGCCAGUCAUUUUAAUGAUUUCUUCAUACAGUGGUACCUCGAGUUACAGACGCUUCUGGUUACAGAUGCUUCAGGUUACAGACUCUGCUAACCCAGAAAUAGUACCUCGGGUUAAGAACUUCGCUUCAGGAUGAGAACAGAAAUCGUGCUCUGGCGGGGCGGCAGCAGCAGGAGGCCCCAUUAUGUAAAGUGGUGCUUCAGGUUAAGAACAGUUUCAGGUUAAGAACGGACCUCCAGAACAAAUUCAGUUCUUAACCCCAGGUACUGCUUUUUAAUGUUGCUGUGUGGUUCUGAUGUUUAGCAAGAGAAAAGUGUCAGCUUUUAAGUUACAAAGGACUCUUUGUCUGGAUUAUAUAUAUACAGUGGUACCUCUGGUUGCAAACGGGAUCCGUUCUGGACGCCCGUUCGCAACAUGAAAAGAGCACAACCCGCAGCGGCGCGUCUGCGCACGUGCAGGUUGCGAUACGGUGCUUCUGUGCAUGCACGUGACAUCGUUUUGUGCUUUUGCGCAUGCGGCGAAACCCGGAAGUAACCCUUUCCGAUCCUUCUGGGUUGCCGCGGGACGUAACCUGAAGCAAACGUAAUAUGAAGUAUGACUGUAUACAUACACACACACACAGUGACAACAAGAGAUAGGGGACAGUCAUAGAAUCAUAGUGUUAAAAGGAACCCUGUCCGUCAUCUAUUCCAACCCCCUGCAAUGCAGGAAUACGCAGCUGUCCCAUAUGGGGAUCGAACCUGCAACCUUGGCGUUAUCAGCACCACACUCUAACCAACGGAGCUACAUCCAGGGGAAAGAGAGACAGGGGAAGAAUGUUUCUGAAUGAGGAUUGGUGAUCUCUGGUUCUUCCUGUUUGUUUCUGGAGGGGAGAUUUUCUUUCCUGCAGGGCAGUGCUCGGAUUGACAGCUGGAAACAUUCAGCUUGCUUGGAAGCUGUAUGUUAACGUCCUUCCUUGAACUUGUGGCAGUAAUCAGGAGGCCUCUCCCCACAGGUCCGAGAUGGAUCUUUCGGGCACAGCAGGAGACAGAGCGGGAGGAGACCCCGGUGCCACCAAGACUGGGAGCAGCGGAGGAUUCUGGGAAGGAACGGUGAAGAAGAUCCUAAGUUCGGGAGAAGCUGGCACAGACGUUCGGCACCAGCAGUUCAGGGAGUUUGGCUACCAGGAGGCUGAGGGCCCCCGAGAGGUUUGCAGCCGACUCCACAGUCUCUGCCGUCGGUGGCUGAAGCCAGAAAGGCUCACCAAGGCCCAGAUCCUGGACCUGGUGGUCUUGGAGCAGUUCCUGGCUGUCCUCCCCCCGGAGAUGGAGAACUGGGUCAGGGAGUGCGGAGUGGAGACCAGUUCACAGGCGGUGGCCUUGGCAGAAGGCUUCCUCCUGAGCCAGACAGAAGAGAGGAGGCAGGAAGAGAGACAGGUGAGAGGGUUAUCCCCACCCCACCCCAAUCAUCCAGGCAGUUCCAAGGGACUGAGAAGGCAGCCGUGGUUCUGAAUACCAGUUUCUGGAAACUGCAGCCGAGGAGAGUGUUAUUGUGCUGCUUCGGUCUAGCUUGCUGGUUUCCCACUGUAGAGUUGGAAGGGACCUCCCAAGCUUAUUCUAGCCCAGCAGUUCUCAACCUGUGGGUCCCCAGAUGUUGUUGGACUACAGCCCCCAUCAUCUCUGAGCUCUGGCCUUGCUAGCUAGGGGGGAUGGGAGUUGUAGUUCAACAACAUCUGGGGACCCACAGGUUGAGAAAGGCUGAUUUCUAGUCCAACCCCCUGCAAUGCAGGAAUCUCAGCUAAAGCAUCCAUGACAGUUGGCCACCCAACCUCUGCUUAAAAACCUCUAAGGAAGGAGAGUCCACAAGCUCCCGAGGGAAACAGCUCUUAACUGUUAGAAUUUCCCCCCAUAGAUUUAGUCGGAAUCUCGCUUUUUGUAACUUGAAACCAUGGGUUUCAGUCCUACUCUCCAGAGCAGGAGAAAAGCAGCUUGUUCCCUGCAUGUGACAGCCGUUGAGAUAUUUGAAGAUGGCUAUCAUAUUUCCUCUUUUCCGGGCUAAACAUACCCAGCUCCUUCAACCAGUGAAGGCGGUGAAGGUCCUGUGUGAGUGUCUGGAGGUGGUUGGAGGAUGGAUGGCGGCUAACAGACUGAGGUUGAAUCCUGACAAGAUAGAAGUACUCUUUUGGGGGGACAGGAGGCAGGCAGGUGUGGAGGACUCCCUGGUCCUGAAUGGGGUAACUGUGUCCCUGAAGGACCAGGUGCGCAGCCUGGGAGUCAUUCUGGACUCACAGCUGUCCAUGGAGGCGCAAGUCAAUUCUGUGUCCAGGGCAACUGCUUACCAGCUCCAUCUGGUACGCAGGCUGAGACCCUACCUGCCUGCAGACUGUCUUGCCAGACUGUCCGCUCUAGUUAUCUCCUGCUUGGACUACUGCAAUGUACUCUACGUGGGGCUACCUUUGAAGGUGACCCGGAAACUACAACUAAUCCAGAAUGCAGCAGCUAGACUGGUGACUGGGAGCAGCCACCGAGACCACAUAACACCGGUCUUGAAAGACCUACAUUGGCUCCCAGUACAUUUCCGAGCACAAUUCAAAGUGUUGGUGCUGACCUUUAAAGCCCUAAACGGCCUCAUUCCUGUAUACUUGAAGGAUAAUCUCCACCCCCAUCGUUCAGCCCCGACACUGAGGUCCAGCGCCAAGGGCCUUCUGGCGGUUCCCUCACUGCGAGAAGUCAAGUUACAGGGAACCAGGCAGAGGGCCUUCUCGGUAGUGGCGCCCACCCUGUGGAACGCCCUCCCACCAAAUGUCAAAGAGAACAACUACCACCAGACUUUUAGAAGACAUCUGAAGGCAGCCCUCUUUAGGGAAGCUUUUAAUGUUUGAUGCAUUACUGUAUUUUAAUAUUUUGUUGGAAGCCACCCAGAGUGGCUGGGGAAGCCCAGCCAGAUGGGCGGGGUAUAAAUAAUAAAAUAAUAAUAACAAUAAUAAUAAUAAUAAUAAUAAUAAUUAUUAUUAUUAUUAUUAUUAACCAUUCCUCAUAAGGCUCGAUGUGCCAUUGGCCUGUUCCAGCAGGCCCUUAUGUUCUUAAUACAGGUAUAGAUUGGUUGUUCAUCCUUCACCCGGAAGUCCCAGCACGGGAAUACACACAAUCAUUAAAUGGGAUUAAGCCUUUAUAACAUUUACUAGAGCCACGGAGAAGGUCCUCUUUCCGCCUCACAGCUCCACUGGUUUCUGCAAUAGGGUUUUGCCAGAAGACUUGAGGGAGGAGGGCAAGAAUCCAUUGCUUGGUUUGCACUGUCCUUCCUAACUUCCUCUCCCUCUUCCCUCUCUGGGUGCCUUGCUUCUGUUUCAGGUGCAAAGCCUGUCCUUAGAUGUGGCCGUUGAUUCCCGCGAGUCAGAGAAGGACCCAACUGACCGUUGUUCAAAGCCCCUCUCGUGGGGCAUCGCCCAGGAGGUACAAAGUCGGAAUGAUUCAUUGGGUAAGGGAUGAUCCUUUGGGCUUCAGAACCGCAGGAUUUUGUGAAGUAUCAGCUCUCCUCCUCCUUCUCCUUCUCUGUUUUCUCCCUCCGAUGCCCCCUAUAUUUGGUAACGCUUAAUUCCAUGGCCAUCUCUAAGCAGCUUGCAAUGAAACUGAGAAACAACAACAGGUCUUAUAAGGGGGAGAUCGUUAUUCCAGUUUGUAAUGGCAUCAGAUUUGAAAUUGUUUUUACAUAUGAAAGCAUUUUUAAAUGUGUGUGUGUUUUUUAAAGAAGUUUCUCAUAAUUAUUUUUAUAUGCGAAGCUGUGCAAUUUUAUUUUCUGUUUUACAAUUUCACAAAUUGAAUUUUGGUGUAACUUAACGACAACUUAAAAUACAUAAAAUAUAACUUGAGAACAAAUUAAAAACCCAAAAUCCACAAGUGCUUUCCUAUUAUUGCAGCUGUUGCGAAGUUGUGUGAUAUUGUCAUCUUUUUACUAUUUUUUGAGGGGGGGCGUUGUUACUAAUUUACUGUGAAGUGGCUUUUGAGAUACGUUAUAGGAAGUUUCAUACAUGGAAUCAAAUAAAUAGUUGGAAUUAAAAUUAACAAUGACACCCCCACAAAGCAAAGCAUAGUAGCACACCCUGAAUAUUAUUAUUGUUAAUUGUAAUAAUAGUAGUGUUUCUUGGUCGCUCUACUCGUAAAAUAAUAAUGCAAAGCAACUUUCCAGCAUGGUAGACAUGCUAAAAGCAAUUACAAUAAUCGCAAUCAAUAUAAAACUGAAAAGCGCACACAUCAAUACUAGCUUUCCCACCAGUUGAGGAGUGGCCGUGCUCUCAGACAGAACCAUCUCCAAAUUUCCCCCUGCAUCUUUCAAAUUUGUUUGCUUAUUUUUCAGUCGCUUGUGCAAAUAAAGUGAGGGUAAAUUGUGGGUUUGCUGUAUUUUUUAAGGAUCCUCCUUAUUUCUGUGAUUGUGAGUUGUUUUAAACUUUUUAAAUGUUUUAAUUUCUGUAACCUACCAUGGUACCUUUGGGUGAAGGGCAGGGUAAUAAUAAUAAUAAUAAUAAUAAUAAUAAUGUUCUUUUCUCCUGCUGUGCUCUUACCAGGUUUUUCUGUCUGAUUUCAGCAGGUGAUGGGGGGGAUGAGAAACAUGGAGACCAACAUGCCAGGCCAGUAGGGGGAAGCAAGAUUCAGGAGAUGGAAGAGAACUUCAGGACUCCAGGAGGAGAGAAUAAGCAGAAGAAAAACCCAGCAGAGGAAGGCGAGAAGACAUAUUGGCCAGGGAUUAACCUCCACGAAGUUCCAGUUCAGGAACACAAUCCCAAGGGAAAGAAAAGGAAUAUCUGCCCCGUGUGUGGGAAACACUUCAGCUACAAAUCAGAUCUCAGUGUUCAUAGGAGAAUCCACACGAGUCUGAAGCCACACAGAUGUUUGGAGUGCGGGGUGAGCUUUAGGCAGAGCGCACACCUCGCUACUCAUCAGACAAUCCACACGGGCGAAAAGCCAUAUCAGUGCUCAUUGUGCGGAAAGAGCUUUCGGCAGCGUGCCAACUUCACAUCACAUCAGAGAACCCACACGGGAAAGAGGCCGUAUCACUGCUCCGAGUGUGGGAAGAGCUUCAGUCGGAACACAACCCUCACAACCUUGAUGGUGUUUCCUGCUUGGCAGGGGGUUGGACUCGAUGGCCCUUGUGGUCUCUUCCAACUCUAUGAUUCUAUGAUUUCUCACUGCCCAUCUAAGGAAACACACGGGAGAGAAACCCUACAGCUGUUCCGUGUGCUGCCGGAACUUUUGCGACAAGUCGGGCCUGAACCUGCACCAGUUAAUUCAUUCAAAGGACAAGCCUCAUAAAUGCCUGGUGUGCGGCAAGAGCUUCAUCCGGCGCUCGCAGCUGACCUCCCACGAAGGGAUCCACACAGGGGAGAAACUGUUGAUUUAGAGCAGAGCCUGUCGUGCCCAGCGGAAGGAUGAGUAAUACGUGCUACAUACUCUAUAUUGCUUUAUUUACAGUUCAAAGCUGGUAUAUUACAGAAAGACAUCUUGCCUCUGCAGGAGCAGAAAAUGCAUCCUCUCUCCUCAACAGCUCGGAGAGAAUCACACAGUGAAAAACAGGCAACCAGUGUACGUCACAUCCAGUCUCCUUUCCCGUGAGAAACUCCAACAGUACAGACUGUGGAAUGUAAACACCUGUCUCGUGACAAGCAGAGCUGCACAGUGAAGGAAAGCAGAAACCAACAUCCUCCCCCUUUCUGUGAACAUCACUGGGCAGCGUGUUUGUACAAUAUCAGUACAAACCCAACUUCUGCACAUAGGUACAGUGUUGAUCCCUUGAUACAAUCUUGGACAAUACAUCAGCAGGAAUUUCAUUACCUGGCAUAUAGGACACUGUUACGAGUCCUUUCUGAAUACAUUCCCUAGCAUGCUGCAACUUUAAUUGUAAGUGCUUUGUGCUUUGCUUACAACCUUCAGACUUCAGCAAAGCCAAACAUGCUUUGUUGUCCUGGUAAACCUGGAUUGGACAUUUGACAGGAAUUUUCAUAUCUUUGCACAAUUGUACUAACCAUUCACAAUCCUUAAGUGAAUAAGACAGUGCAUUCAGUUCGGCUUCACAAGUACUUAAGCUAACUGUUGUUUGCUUCUUGCAUGACCAAUCAAACAGACUCUGAUUGUACAUGUAGCAAACUCCAGACGUACUUUUCCUGUCUGUAGUGUCACUUCCAAAACUUGCAUCUGCAAAUAUCUCAAGACCACCAGACUUCUGAUUGUUAAAUCUCAG